ACCAACGCUUCGGACCCGAGUUUCUGGUAAGAAAUGGCUGCACUGAUGUGUCAUCUCCUGCCGUGUGCAGAAGCGCUGGGCACAACACCCAGUUCUGCAGGCAGUGGGGCCAAGUGGGCUGUGCGCAGUGGCGGUAUAGACCGCAGCUAUACAGGUGGUCUUCUUUAAGCAAUUUGCUGAAAGCAUGUUCAGCCUGUCCACCAGUCCAUGGUCAACUGAAGUUAUUUUCAGGAAUUUCCAACUCUAGGGAGAAUAAAUCACACAAGUUCUACCCACUGUAAAGAUGACUGUGAGAUUUGAGAGGUACUGGAGAUGAAAGCAGUUCCAAUGUGUGAGGAGUUAAAACAAUUUUACUCAUCAUUAUGAUAAAAAUAACCAUAAUGAUGAAGAUGUUGGUAACUGCUCUAAUUGGUUUUCUUUUUGUGUUAUCUCACACAGACCACAUGCAAUUAAAUCUCUUAUUAAAUC